rnacentral:sRNA from 1 species
GGAUGUGAAAGUGAUUUGGCUCUGACAUCUGUCACACAGUUUAUUGGUAAGGCUCAUUUUACUGUCUUGGUUCAGUAGGUAGGAGACCCCCUUAUCCCUCACCACUCCAUGUGCUCCUGUCUGUGAGCUACAUACUGGCUGAAAAAGAUGACCUUCCCUGAUAGAAAAGGGCAGAAGAAUAGUGAUGAUGUUCUCUUAUAACAUGCAAAUAAGUCCUUGUGCCAUGUGGUAGGGCUCUGA